rnacentral:rRNA from 1 species
CGCGUAGGCGGCGGGUCAAGUCGAGUGUGAAAGCCCCGGGCUCAACCUGGGAAUUGCGCUCGAGACUGGUCUGCUUGAGUUCGGGAGAGGAGAGUGGAAUUCCCAGUGUAGAGGUGAAAUUCGUAGAUAUUGGGAAGAACACCGGUGGCGAAGGCGGCUCUCUGGACCGAUACUGACGCUAAGGCGCGAAAGCGUGGGGAGCAAACA